rnacentral:rRNA from 1 species
UCGCUAGUAAUCGCGAAUCAGAAUGUCGCGGUGAAUACGUUCCCGGGUCUUGUACACACCGCCCGUCACACCAUGGGAGUCAGUAACGCCCGAAGCCGGUGACCCAACCAGUUCUGGAGGGAGCCGUCGAAGGUGGGACCGAUAACUGGGGUGAAGUCGUAACAAGGUAUC